rnacentral:lncRNA from 1 species
UGGGAACGUGCAGCCAUGAGGUCCAGGGUGCAUUUUAGAGAGGACGGGUUGGAGGUCAUGGUGUGGUCUGGAAGAAAGGUCAGGAAAUGGAAUCAUGGUGUUAGUGGUUUAGAAAAGUGGUCCGAUGCCAGAGGCUAAGUUACUUGGCUUGGUUCACACAUCAGCAAGUUCAAACCGAGUUCAGUUGUGCUGCGAAGCCAAUAUGCUAAGUCACCAUAAUUUAACAACAGGUUUCCCCUCAAGGUAUCAUGACAUUAUUUUUUUGGGUCUCAACCAACUAGCAUUUGUCAAAGAGAGAUGGAGAGAGAGAGAAUGAAAAGAAGGAAGGAAGGAAGGAAAGAAGGAAGGAAGGAAGGAAGGAAGGAAAUAGAAUAGAAUAAAAUCACAGUUUAUUUCACGGAGUGAAGGAAGGGUUGCUGCGUGCAAAUGUGUUUCUGUGCUGUAUGCUUAUCUGCAGAUGGAUGUACCGGGCUGUGAUAUGAAACCUAUUUUUAUGGCUGGUUGUGGCUCCUCUGAGCUGCUAUUGGGUUUGCCCUCCACCCCCUCUCACGCUGACUCUGGGCCCUUCAAAAUGAGUCAUAGAGAGUCAUUACCACUCCCCCCGACCCAACCCUGACUCUGCUGUACACCUCAUGGUUUCUGAUAAUACAGCAUUGUGAAGUCGGGGGAAGGCUGGCAGAGGGGCCCAGUCUAGUCUGUGACCUGAGCCAUCAUGGUAGGGUGUCCAGGGUGAGGGGAGGGUGGUGUGAAUCCCCAGUAAUGCAGGUCCUUUCCAGGCCAGGCCCCUGGUCCCCAGGAGUGCGGGGAUGCCUGAGGUCUACUGCUGCCUUAUCCAGAGCUGCCAUCCCCGGCGAUGACUCAGAGUUCCUGUGGCCCCAGCAUCAUCCCUCCAUCCCUGGCUGUGAGGCAGGAGCAGAGUUGCAGACCUGAGAGGCCUUGAAUUUGUUUGAUAUAGGACUUUGCCACCAGACAAAGUGCUUUGCCUGUGAGGUCUGGCUUGGCCUGGCCUCUGAGAAAGAACAAACACAGACCUCACUGGAAGGAACCUGGAGAACGGGAGAGGAGAGGCUGCUGCUGUCUGCCCUCCCAGCAGCAGAUAUAAAGACAAUGGGCUUCUAAGUCCCCUAGAGUCCCAGCUGUGUAAUUUAAGGCAAAUAUAAUUUCUGACCUACGUAAUGAUGUAUGCACAAGAAGCCUCUCUUGAAUGUAUUAAUUCAGUAAACAGUUAUGGAGUCCUUACAAUGUGCUAGUGGGACUUUGAAGAUGAAUCCAAAUUUGGAUCCUGGCCUGGAAAGGCUCAAAGCCCAAUAUGGGAGGUAGAAAACCCAUCAUCACUGGGCAUUGUCUUCCAGUGAUUCUGAGCAGAAACAAAGGGGAACGUAUGUCUUCAUUGUGACUCAGCGAGCAAAGAGAUGGAGUCUUUUCCAAGAAGAAAGUGGGAGAUUUGGGACCACUGACAUAUUUGGCCCACUGAUUCCAUUCCCCUAGACCAACACGUGUUCAUCAAAUUGCAUCACUCUUAUGGGGAACUUAAUGCAACUCCGGUGCCCAUUGCAUUAGUUUUUGAUGAUGGAAUUCUCUUUGUGAACUUGAACUUGAGGGGUCUGGCUACCCCUCUGAGACUUCUUUUUUGAGAUAAAAUCAUAUAACAUAAAAUUCGCCCUUUUAAUGUGUACAAUUCAGUGGUUUUUAGUGUAUUUACAAUGUCAUGCCACCAUCACCACAAUCUAAUUCCCAAACAUUUUUAUCUCCUUAAAAAGCAGCCACUCCCCAUUCCCCCAUCUGCAGCCCAGGGCAAUCCCUAAUCUAUGUUCUGUCUCUGUGGCCUCUCAGAGACUUCUGGCACCAGUCUCUCCAGUCCAUGAGCUGUGAACUCCCUUUUUAGCACAUUUGGCCCUGACACCUGCCAUCUUACCUUUGCUUCUGGACACCCAGAUUGAAUCUUCCCUAAAAACCAACUUUGCAUUGUUUGCCCAACAUUUGAACCUCCUUCCUAUAUUUGUGUAACUGCUCAGUGUAUGACUCAUUUUCGGAGGAGUCAGUGGCCAUCUUUCUCUAUUAAGGCUCAAGAAGAUAGAUUCCUGCUUUCCCAGACUUCCUUGCAACGAGUCCUUAGAUGGGUGUGCUAGGCUCAAGCUCAACCAGUGACUAUGAAUCUGGAGCCAGUGGCCUGAAAAGUCAGGGGUAGUGAAGAAUCUUUGCUGUUAGUGUGGUGGUAGCAGUAGUAAUGUCAAAGGCCUACUGGCAGCAGGGCUGUGGGCCCAUGGCAGCGGGACCAUGCUCAAGUGGCACUAAUGUCUGCAUUGGGCUGGCUGGUUCUGAUUUUGGCUGUCUCUUAGACUCUCUUGCUCCUGGGCACUGUUUAAGCUGGUCCUCCAGCCUUCUUGGCUAUUGAGUGAGCUAGAUCCUAUCUUUAAAAUAGAUUUUCUUUCAAUUAAAAUCAUCCAGAGUUGGUUUCCAUGCUUGCAGUUAAGGACCCCAUCUGGAAGAAGUAUUUUAUGAGUAGAGUCUUAACCAGAACGGGUCAUAGGGUUUUGCCUCAGAAUACUGCAAUUAAGAGGGCACCAUAUUUUGAAGCUUGAACUCCCUCCCCCAUGCUCUUCCUUAUUCCUGUUGCAGUGCUGAGCUGGCCUCUUCUUCUGAGACCAGUACCUCAGCAGCAGGUGAACAAAGACAGAGAUGGAGACUUAGGAUCAAAGGCACUGAGUGCCUGACCAGGGGUCCCUCUGUGAGGCAGGAGAACAAGCCCCUCCUCUGUUUCUUUGAAUUUCCUUGUUUAGAAACUGAAUUUCUGGGCCAGGUGUGGUGGCUUACGCCUGUAACCCCCGCACUUUGGGAAGCUGAGGCGGGUGGAUCACCUGAGGUCAGGUGUUUGAGACCAGCCUGGCCAACAUGGCAAAACCCCAUCUUUAAUAAAAAUAGAAAAAGCAGCCUGGCAUGGUGGUGGGCGCCUGUAAUCCCAGCUACUCAGGAGGCUGAGACAGGAGAAUCACUUGAACUUGGGAGGUGGAGGUUGCAGUGAGCUGAGGAGCUGAGAUCGCACCGUUGCAUUCCAGCCUAGGUGACAAGAGCAAAACUCCAUCAAAAAAAAAAAGGAAAGAGAAAGAAAGAAAGAAAAAAGAAAGAAGAAAGGAAGGAAGGAAGAAAGAAAGAAAGAAAGAAAGAAAGAAAGAAAGAAAGAAAGAAAGAAAGAAAGAAAGAAAUUGAGUUUCUGGCUGCUUGUUGUGGGUUGAAUCAUGUCCCCACAAAACACAUGCUGAAGUCACAUCCCCAGUAUCUAAGAAUCUGACCUUCUUUGGAAAUAGGGUUGGUGCAGAUGUAAUUAGUUAGGAUGAGGUCACACUGGAGUAGGGUGGGCUCUUAAUCCAGUAGGGCUGGUGUCCUAGUAAGAAGAAGGAGGAUGACACAAAGACAGACACACAGGGAGAAUGCCGUGUGACCCUAAGAGCAGAGGUUGGAGUGGUGCCGCUACAAGCCUGGGAUUGCCAGCCACCACCAGAGCUAGAAAGAUAUAAGGAGGGAUUUUAGCUUCAGGAACGAUGAGGAGCAUUUACGUUGUUUUAAGCCACCCAAUUUGCAGUAAAACUCAAGGAAACUAAAACAUCUUUUGAAUCCAAAUUCCUGGCCAUAGCUCUGCUUAACAGGACAUCCUUGGAAGCAGACAGAAUGGGGUUUGAGUCUCAGCUCUGUUACCACCUGCUGCAUGGGUUCGGAGGUAAGCUGUUUACCUCCUUGACAUCUCCAUUUCCUCAUCUGCAAAUCAAAGAUGAACAUAGCUUCUUCAAAGACUGUUAAACAUUUAGAGGAGUGCACGGCACAUAAACGGCAAC